AGAAAAAGAAGUAUGAGAUAAGAGAGGAGAGUAAGUGAUUAGAGGAGAUGCAAAUAUUUUCAUUUAAGUCUGAAAAUGUUUGAUCCAUUGACAAACUUCACUAUUAUAUGGGUUUAGGAGCCUUGGUAUAAUUAAUGAAGAAAAUGAUUCCCAAGAGUAAUCUCCUAAUGAAUUAAUAUAUCUUUUAGAAAUCUAAAAUGUGACUUAGAAUUUUUAGACCAACUAAUCUAAAGUAUAAUCGAUGACAGUUUGAAAUAAGCUUUUUCUGGUGGAGAGAUUGACUGGGUUAUUGUAUGCAAAUUUUGCAUCGAGUAAGGUUAAGUCUCAGUUUUUCGAGUUUCUCCCCAACUAAACAUCUAAGGAGAUUCUCAAGGAAUGGUUAACAACCUCAGUUUAACCAUCAAUUUGGGGGUAAAAGGCUAAAGAGAACUUCAAUGUUGUGUCAAACAGUUUCCACAGUUUUUCAAAAGUUGAUAAAUUUCACAUCCCUAUCAGAUACCAUGGUUAAGGCAAGCCAUGUAAUUUAACCACUUCUCGAAAUAACAAUUUAGCAAUAUGUGAGACGUCGUUGGUCUUGUCACAUGAGAUAAAGUGAGUCAUUUUGUAAAAUUGAUCAAUAACAACAAGAACAAAGUCAUCUCCACAGGCUAUUUUGGGAAGCCUAAGAACAAAAUCUAAACUCACAUCUUGCAAUGGUAAUUACAGAAUGGGUAAUGGAGUGUAUAUGCAAGUAUUGUGUUUGCGAGUUUUGGCAAUUUGACAAGUGCCACUCCGACACACUCGAGCAACAUCUUGCUUUAAGGAAGACCGAUAAAAUCUAUCCUCGAUUAAUGCAAUGGUCCUGUCUUGACCUAGGUGACAUGUUAAUCCACCCACGUGCAUUUCCCAAACAAAUGUCUCGAAGGGAGGAUCGAGGAAUACACAAUCUAGUGGGUCGAAAAAGGUUACCACCCUUAGGAAUGAAGUUCGUAUAUUCAUGACGGUUUCCAUCUUGGACUUCUCGAUAUAUGUGACUAAAGUCUAGACAUUGGGUAUACUCUUUCUUUUAAUUGCUCGAAUCCUAUGACCUUGACACUCAUGGUAAAUAGGAUUAUAGAAUUUUAUUAAGGACAUCAACAGCUUUAUUUUGAGUACCAGAACAAAGCUUAAUUACAAAAGAUUUAGGAUCCAGUAAGUGAAGUCCCUUGGUUGUUGGGGCUUGUGGAUGAGAUUUGGAUGUUCUUGAUUUGACCUUUUCUGGCGGUUUUGUUUGUCGCAGAAUAAUGUUUUUACCUUUGUAUGGAAAGAUAGGUGUUUUCUCUUCCAUGGUUGGUAACAUCAAGGUCAUACAACCAAGGUCGACCUAAAAGACUGUAGGCAACAUCUAAUGGUAGAACGUCACAAUAAAUCUCAUCUUACCCAUUUUAAUGGGUACUAGGCAUCUCUCAGUCACGGGAAGUGUGGUUUUUUCAACCCAAGCUAGUUUGAAUGGAAUCGGGUGUGAUUCUACCUUAAUGUUUAAUCUCUUGAUAGCAAAUUUUAGACUAAGUUCAUAGUGAUAGUGUGAAACCCCCAUCAAUAACCAAUUUGUAAGUUUUUUCAUGCUUCGAAUAAAAGUAUGGAAGAUACUUAUCCUCUUCCAUUCAUUGGAAUCACUAGCAGUAGAGAGAAUUAUGCGAACAACAUUAACAUGAGCACCUUCAAUUACUAGUUCGUUUUCGUCACCUAAGUAGGCUUCCGAUUCAACUACUUGGUUUACUCCCUCGAUUUGAUCCUUUGGUUAUUGUUUUAAGGUAAGGGUACAUUGAGGACGAGAGGCCAAGUGACCUCUAUUAUGGUAAUAAUAACACUAGAAUGAAAACGAACUAGUUUGAGAAUCAGUAGUUGAAUGAGUUUGACAAUUCAUGGAAUUUUUUACUUGACAGAGCCACUAUUUGGGGUAGAUUAGGUAAUAGUUCUAUUGUCAAGAAACUGAGACGAUGCUUGACGAAUUGGAUAAGAUUUGAUGUCCUUAAUCUCAAGGGCUCAUCGGGAAGUUUCCUCCAUGGUGUCAAGGAAACUAAGGGAGACUUCCAGUUGGAUGUCAAACCUCAACCCAAAAACAAAUCUUCGAACAAUGAUAAUUUGGUCCUUUUCUAUUUCACACCUAAGUAAAAGUUUCUUAAAUUGGGGCAAAUACUCUACCGCACUAGAAUUCAACUAUUUAAGGUUUAACAAUUUUUCAACUAAUUGGCUUCGAAAGUAGGUUAUUAAAUAUUUUUCCUUAAAAGUUUUUAUUUCAUGACUUCCUAUUGAGUGAUGAGAGGCUCUCGACGGUGUUCGAGACUACGUUGGACAUGUUGUCAAUAUUUCCAAACGGAGCCUAUUAGUUUCAUUUUUGCAAAUCGUACACAUUCAAUAUUAAUCAUUCCAUACCACUCAAAGUAGUCUUCCAUGCUAUAUAACCGAUCAACACACACAGGGUCAAACCUACUGUCAAAGUCCAACACAUCCACUUUAACUCUUCUAGCCAUUUCUCUCAUAUUGUCAACAAGUCGAACUCGUUGACCCAUUACUCAGGUUUGUGGAUUUCUAUAGGUUCUAGGAAUUCAUCAUUAAGAUCAAAAGCUUGGCCAUCAAGAAUUAUUGGAGCAUGAUUGUGAAUAGGUGCCCUAUAGGUGGACCUAGGAUUUGUUUGAACUAGGGCUUGGGAAGUAGGUAAAAUUCCUUAAUUUGAAGCUACGAAUUGGGGAGAAUAGACAUGUUAACUAACCGACUCAUCAAUCUCCUCAUUCAUGGGUCGUUUUUCAAAAUGUUAGAAAGCUCUUACGACUUGAGUUAUUUGGUCACAUAACUAAUUCAAUAUUGUGUCAUGAUCUGCUAGCUUGGUCUUUAAGGGUGUCUACCUUACUCUGUUGGUUUAGGGACUCAUCAUGAUUGAUUUGCUUUUCACCUCGUCGAGUCAUGAUUCUAAUGCUAUCGACAAAUUACUUUUUGGUAAUGAGAUUAUUAAUUAUUGUAAUGCACAAGAUAGAAAUGUAAAGUUUCAAAUGGUUUUCAUUUUUUUCACUUUUUGUCUUUUUUUUUUAUAACUUUCAAGGGUUCAAAUUUUAGUGGUACUGUAGUUGCAGCUAAAGGGGUGAGGGAAGAUGAUAAAUUUAAGAAAAAAAAAAGAAGAAGAAAACAAGGGGAGAAGUGAUGAAAAUUAUGAUCCGAUGAAAAAUAUAAUUUUUCAAUCCAAUAAAAAAUAUUAGUAAAGUUUUCAAAAUUUUACUCGAUAAUAAGAGUUAUAUGGUCCAAUUCCACAUGGGACAGUCAUCCUAAGGACCAACUCCACACGCAAGGGAUUGACAUUGGAGGUGCAAGGAUCCUUGAGUGUUGAUCGAACCUUUUGAUGCUAGUUGGAACCUAAUGGGGUAUAAGGCAAGUUUGUUGAUAUCCUCUAAUACCGAAUUGAUGUAGAACAGAAUAGGGAAAUAGAGAGAGAAGUGUGAGAUAACAGAGGGGAAUAAAAUACUAGAGAAGAUACAAUUCUUUUCAUUCAAAUCUGAAAAUAUUUGAUCCACUAACAAGUUCCACUAUUUAUAGGGGUUUAGAAGCCUUGAAACAAUUAAUAAGCCAA
rnacentral:lncRNA from 1 species